CCUUCUUAUUUUCGGGAUGGAUGUGACACCAGAGGUCAUUUCCCUUGGGGGGUCUACUUGAUAUUCUUUCAUGGAUGCACUCCACACCUUUCUUCAAUAAAAAAAUUGAUUAAAUUGUGAAAAGAGGCACGUCCUUUGGAAUGAAAACCAUUGAUUGGCAUGAUAGUAAGGAGAGAAAUGAGCUGAUAAAAUAAGUAAGAGAAUUAGAAUUGUGAUGGUGGGUCAUCUUAUCUAAAGGGAGAGACAUUUUGCGGUUUGCAAGGAUUCCCUGUGUCCCACGAUGCAGUGACACAUUGAAAGGAGCCGCAGAAUGACGCAAAUCCCAUCCUUCUUAUGGGUUCCACUCGCACCGUGAAGAAUCCUUGCCGGCACCACAAUAAGGACACCAUGAAAGACAAACCGUCUUCCCUCCUCUUGUCCCUUUUCUUCUAUAUAUAUUCCUUUUUCUUUAAUGAUCUUAGAUUUAUUGACUUUUUGCCUUACAUGCAUGCAAAAGCAAAACAAUAUUCAUGAUCACUGUCUCCUCCUGCAGCUUAUGAAUGGAGGAUCAGCUUGUUUGAUCCACGGGACCUUUUAGGAUUUCUGAAGAAUGCGUUUCUCGGUUGAUAUAUUUGAGUUUAGAAAGUUAAUUCGUUUGAGGAAAGGGCAUUGCCAAUUACUGAUGCUUCAGUAUUUCAAACAUUCUCCUAUAAUCUAUCGAUCCCCUGGAUUUCAGUACCUGAGCAUGUUGCGAGAGGUCACGUGGCAGAAAAAGAAUUGGAAUAGUGAGGCUCUGAUCCUGCAAAACAAGGCGGAGUUCCUUCUUCGGAGUAACUUUCCGAUGGUUUAAUCAGUGUAAAAAAAGUAAUAUAGAGUCCUUUAAUUUGAUCUCAAGAGAUUACUCGAGUUUGUAAUAUUCUCAAAGAUAGAGUGUUUAUCAUCAAGAGAUAUAAUUUUUCAGGAAAA